GUGGGGGAUAUUGCGCAAUGGGGGAAACCCUGACGCAGCAACGCCGCGUGAAGGAAGAAGGUCUUCGGAUUGUAAACUUCUUUUGUCAGGGACGAAGAAAGUGACGGUACCUGACGAAUAAGCUCCGGCUAACUACGUGCCAGCAGCCGCGGUAAUACGUAGGGAGCGAGCGUUGUCCGGAUUUACUGGGUGUAAAGGGUGCGUAGGCGGCCGAGCAAGUCAGUUGUGAAAACUAUGGGCUUAACCCAUAACGUGCAAUUGAAACUGUCCGGCUUGAGUGAAGUAGAGGUAGGCGGAAUUCCCGGUGUAGCGGUGAAAUGCGUAGAGAUCGGGAGGAACACCAGUGGCGAAGGCGGCCUACUGGGCUUUAACUGACGCUGAGGCACGAAAGCAUGGGUAGCAAACAGGAUUAGAUACCCGAGUAGUCC
rnacentral:rRNA from 1 species